rnacentral:rRNA from 1 species
CCUACGGGGGGCAGCAGUGGGGAAUAUUGGACAAUGGGGGCAACCCUGAUCCAGCAAUGCCGCGUGUGUGAAGAAGGCCCUCGGGUUGUAAAGCACUUUCAGUGAGGAAGAACGCCUGGUGGUUAAUACCCAUCAGGAAAGACAUCACUCACAGAAGAAGCACCGGCUAACUCCGUGCCAGCAGCCGCGGUAAUACGGAGGGUGCGAGCGUUAAUCGGAAUUACUGGGCGUAAAGCGCGCGUAGGUGGCUUGAUAAGCCGGUUGUGAAAGCCCCGGGCUCAACCUGGGAACGGCAUCCGGAACUGUCAAGCUAGAGUGCAGGAGAGGAAGGUAGAAUUCCCGGUGUAGCGGUGAAAUGCGUAGAGAUCGGGAGGAAUACCAGUGGCGAAGGCGGCCUUCUGGACUGACACUGACACUGAGGUGCGAAAGCGUGGGUAGCAAACAGGAUUAGAUACCCCAGUAGUC